rnacentral:misc_RNA from 1 species
AGAUGAUGAUCCCAAGCCUUCUGGCGAUCUGUUUAUACAAGCCUCUAAGGGGGAUGGAAGAUAUUCUUUCUUUGAUCAGAUUAUGCGAUUGAAGGUUUUCAGUUUUCCUCGUAGGGCUUGUAGCUCAGUCGGUUAGAGCGCGCGCUUGAUAAGCGUGAGGUCGGAGGUUCAAGUCCUCC